GCGAUUCCCUUCGGGGAUUAGCGGGUCGUCAGACGUGGCGGCUGGACGGUUCCUCCAUCCGCUGUUGGGAGGAACGUGUCCCCACUUUGGCGGGUGUGGGACACCACUCCAUCCGCUGUUGGGAGUGUGAUAUGAGUUUGCCUCCAUCCGCUGUUGGGAGGACACAAACUCAUCCCGUAGGGUAAAGCCUCUCCAUCCGUUGUUGGGGGAGUGCUCCUUCGGGUAUUUGAUAUACGCCAAUGGGAUGAUUGAUUGAAUUUUGAUCAUAUAUACAUUUUGAGUUGACUUUUGGGGUUCCUACUCAGCGUUGCUGAAUUUUCUUUGUUUUUGAUUUUCA
rnacentral:lncRNA from 1 species